ACGAAGGGUGCGAGCGUUACUCGGAAUUACUGGGCGUAAAGGGUGCGUAGGCGGUUCGUUAAGUCUGUCGUGAAAUCCCCGGGCUCAACCUGGGAACUGCCUUUGUGACUGCGAGGCUAGAGUAUGGCAGAGGGGGGUGGAAUUCCACGUGUAGCAGUGAAAUGCGUAGAGAUGUGGAGGAACACCGAUGGCGAAGGCAGCCCCCUGGGCCAAUACUGACGCUCAUGCACGAAAGCGUGGGGAGCAAACAGGA
rnacentral:rRNA from 1 species